ACGGAGGGUGCGAGCGUUAAUCGGAAUCACUGGGCGUAAAGCGCACGUAGGCGGUGUCGUAAGUCAGAUGUGAAAGCCCUCGGCUCAACCGGGGAACUGCAUUUGAUACUGCGAGGCUUGAGUGCAGCAGAGGGGGGCGGAAUUCCAGGUGUAGCAGUGAAAUGCGUAGAUAUGUGGAGGAACACCGAUGGCGAAGGCAGCCACCUGGGCUGUAACUGACGCUGAGGCACGAAAGCGUGGGGAGCAAACAG
rnacentral:rRNA from 1 species